CCUACGGGAGGCAGCAGUAAGGAAUAUUGCUCAAUGGGAGAAAUCCUGAAGCAGCAACGCCGCGUGAGGGAUGAAGGCCUUUAGGUCGUAAACCUCUGUAAACAGAGAAAAAAUUCCCAUUCUAUGGGAUAUGAUGGUAUCUGUGAAGUAAGCCCCGGCUAACUACGUGCCAGCAGCCGCGGUAAUACGUAGGGGGCAAGCGUUGUCCGGAUUUACUGGGUGUAAAGGGUGCUCAGGUGGCUAAGCAAGUCAGUGGUGAAAUCUGAGAGCUUAACUCUCAAACUGCCAUUGAUACUGCAUAGCUUGAGUAUGGAAGAGGUUGAUGGAAUUUCAGGUGUAGCAGUGAAAUGCGUAGAUAUCUGAAAGAACACCAGUGGCGAAGGCGGUCAACUGGUCCAUUACUGACACUAAAGCACGAAAGCGUGGGUAGCAAACAGGAUUAGAUACCCUGGUAGUCCACGCCCUAAACGAUGAAUACUAGACGUUGGAUGUAAAAAUUCAGUGUCGAAGCUAACGCAUUAAGUAUUCCACCUGGGGAGUACGAUCGCAAGGUUGAAACUCAAAGGAAUUGACGG
rnacentral:rRNA from 1 species